UAAUACCGGAUAAGAAAGACAGAUCGCAUGAUCAGCUUUUAAAAGACGGCGUAAGCUGUCGCUAUGGGGAUGGCCCGCGGUGCAUUAGCUAGUUGGUAAGGUAAAGGGCUUACCAAGGCGAUGAUGCAUAGCCCGAGUUGAGAGACUGAUCGGCCACAUUGGGGACUGAGACACGGGCCCAAACUCCUACGGGGGGCAGCAGUAGGGAAUCUUCCACAAUGGACGCAAGUCUGAUGGAGCAAACGCCGCGUGAGUGAAGAAGGUUUUCGGAUCGUAAAGCUCUGUUGUUGGUGAAGAAGGAUAGAGGUAGUAACUGGCCCUUUAUUUGACGGUAAUCAACCAGAAAGUCACGGGCUAACUACGUGCCAGCAGCCGCGGUAAAU
rnacentral:rRNA from 1 species